ensembl:lncRNA
AUGGAAUGGUGUGGUUAUUUUUUGGUUGACCUACCAGAUUCCACAGGAGGAGACGCCCCAGCUGCUGCAGCCGCUGCCGCCCCUGCUGCCCCAGGAGCUGAGCUGAUGUCAGUAUUUGAUGGCUUAGGGGAUGUAAUGAAGCCCACUGUGACCCCUCAAGGAGGGGAUGUUGACACCUCCAUGGCUAACAUGGCAAGUAGUAAGUAGUAGUAGUAAUACUUAAUUUUCCCAAAUUUUCAAUCAGCUAAUGUAAUUUCAUCAUAUAGAAAAAUGAUCACAGUUAUUUUGCAGCAUCUCUCUCUGUCUCUCUUACAGAUCUCACAAUGGGAACCACAGCGGCCCCACAGGUAGCUCCCCCCAGUUGGGGUGCUCCCAUGGUAAAUGUUGUCUGUGUCUUAUAGCAUGGAGUGGAGCCGCAUGGCAGCGACAGACAGGGCUUUCCCGUAGCUGCACUCACAAGCAUUCUGGCUUCAUCCAUCUCUCCAGGUGUAACCACAAACAUAGCAAAAAAAAAACAGAUGGGUGUAGCUGCAUAGAAACCAAGGAAACAAGACACUAUUCUAUUCUAUCCAGCCUAUAGCAGAGCUGAUGGAUGACAAAUCUGCAACACUAACCCUAACCCUAACGCAGUUCUUAAACAGAGAUAUGAAGCCUGGUUCUGGAGAACUUACUGGAGAGUGAUGAAGUGGCCAAUGAAAACUAAGAAGCUGUUGCUUGGAAACAGCUUCUUAUUCUUCUAACUCUAUGAAGUCUGUUUGAAUUAAGGCUCGCCACCCACUUCUCCCUUCAUAGCUCAACUCACCUCUUCAUUUAGAAAUUUUGCAACAAGUUUUAAAACUUCCAUCUGAAGACUACGUGCAACAGGCUUCCCCUCUGCUCUCGAAAUCCUCGUGCAUGUGCUAAAUGUUAGGGGUUUUGUCUUGGCGUGUCUUUGUUUCUUGUGUGCCAUGUUUUUUGUUUUUGAGCUUGUCUGUCUUCAGCAUCACUUUUGUGUGUAAUUUGAAAACAUGUAUGCAUCCUGUAUGUUUGUUUUAAUGUCUGUCUUAUAUGUAGUGUAGUAACGUCCCGACUCCUCCUCCUCCUCCUCUCCAUCCCCUCCCCUU